rnacentral:pre_miRNA from 1 species
GAAAAUCCUUGAAGCUGCAACGCUACUUUUCUGCAUCUGCACCUGCACCAAGAUGCGAUAACAUGUACAGAUGAACCAAAUACACAGUUGUACUGUCAUGCCCAGUUAGCCACUGGACUUGAUUUGUUGAACAAUUAUUUGUACUCGCUUUAUCGCGUACUGGUGCAGUGCCUAUGCAGACAUGUAGUGUUGUAGCUGGAUGCAGAUC